AUGCAUUGCCAUAACUUCCAUGGGGUUGCAUGUUUAGAAUUUGCUAUGAUCAUCAAUCAUGCAGUUUGCGUUCUGAAAGUGGAACAAAACAAUACCGGUAUUUCUUUAGAUCACUUGUUUAAUGCUUUAAAAACAAUUUUUCUGCCAAACAGCUCGUGAGAGCUGGACUUUGCUGUGGUGUCCUUUUCCCCUGACAAUGCAUGCUCUAUUCAAAACAUGUGCAAAAAACUGCCCAAGUAUUUAUAGCCACAUUUUUUUUAUUUCAAAUUGCUGUCCCAGAAAACUUAAUGAGUUUAAGAUGUAGGAAUGCACUCUGCACAUGAAGAUCGCCAACUGUGUAUAUGACACAAAACAUCUCAUUGUCACAAACAUGCAUGACUGUCACUUAUUUUGAAUGAAAUGAAUGGCAAUUAAACACUUUUGAUGUAUAUGGGGUUAUUUUAUUUUGACAAUAAGAGUUAUUUGAAAAGAAAAUCCAUUUAAAUGUCAUUUCAUGUCAAAUGUGUUCAUAUAUAUACAUAUAUUUAUUUUUUGAAUUUUGUUCUAUUUAUUGCAUAUGUUCUUUGAAAUAAAACUGAUGUU
rnacentral:misc_RNA from 1 species